ensembl:snRNA U7 U7 small nuclear RNA
AGGUGUUCUUUUAGAAUUUAUCUAGCAUGUUUUCUAGUUUUCACCAGAAAACCCAU